GUGCUCAUGAAGCAGGUAGAGCUGCUUGAGCCACAUGCUUUGGCUUCAGAUGCCCAUGCCAUAGAAUUGUAGAAUCAACCAGGUUGGAAAAGACCUUUAAGAUCAUCAAUCCAAUCAUUAUGUCCUGCUGGGAAGCACCACUGCCUGUUUUUACUUCUCUGCUCCUGGGUCAGGGAUGCAGUGAUGUUACUUGUUCUCCUCAUUCAGUGUGUCUUGCACCAUCUGUGUCUAAUCCCCAAAGACCAUGAGUCCAGGCCCUCACUCACCCUGAUGGGUGUGGGUGGCCAACCCUGGGGGUGCAGCUGGUCCCCAUAUGGUUUAUGGGGUCUACUGCCAUCUGCACUGGGGUGCCAUCAGCACAAUAUCAGUGACUUCCCAGCCUCUCUUCUGGCAGCAACCUAAUACCUUGUUUACUGCUUGUGUUUGCUGUUUUUCUGUUUCUGGCAGCCACAGACAAUCCCAGUCAUGUAAGGUGUGAGUGAACUUGGUUGAUCUGGUCAACACACUCUGGGGAGAUAAUUGGUGUCAAUUGACAUUGAUAUACUGAUGCAGUUACCUGCAGAAGGGCAAUAUAAUCUCAUUCACCUUCUCCAGGCUCAGCAGCAUGCUUUCAACCAGGGAAGUGUAGGAAGCAAACAGUAUGCUUUGAAGCAAAAGAUUUGACGUGGUCAAACCCAGGCAAAACACUUGUGGUUUUUACAUCCUAGGCUGGAACACCGUAGUUUAGUAAAAGGAUUGUUUUGUUUCACUGUAGCUGAGUUUUUUCCAGUAUCAAAAUAUUUUAACUUCUUGGGAAUGGGUUCUGGGAUCAUAGAAUCAUCAGAUGGUUUGGGUUGGAAGGGAUCUUCAAAGAUCGCCUAGAGGAAGCCCACCUGCCAGGGGCAGGGGCAUCUUCUGAUCAGGUUGCUCAAAGCUCCAUUCAACCUGAUAUUGGACGGGUUUAGGCCACAAUAAGGUCUUCCUGGAGCCUUCUCCAGGCUGAACAACCCCACCUCUCUGACUUUUUUCACAGGAGAGGAGGUAAACCUGCAAUUAAGAGGCAGCUUGAGUAAGUCAGUUCCCCUCAUGCUGUGCUCUGGGUUAGCUCACCAGGUGAAAUUCUCUGGCUGCUGCAAGUAUUCCAUGUGAUUGUGUGCACGAGCAACCUCCCCUUCUCAAGCACUGAUUACACAGGCUUUUGAGAAACGUGGCUAUGGGAACACAGACCUGAGAACACGAUGUACACAAAGUACAGAAGUUCAAGUCCAGUUGGCACCUUGUGGGUUUUUGUGAGUUGUUUUUGCCUGUACCAUGCCCAUGGCUUCAACUCAAUGCUGUGCUGAUGAUACUGCACUGAGCAAACUUGUUAAGAACAGCUUAUGUGAGCCAGAGAAAAUGAAGAGGCAAAACUGCUUGAGAAGGAAGACCUAUCUGCUAAAGUUUUACACUGGAAAAAAAUUAGCUGCAUAGGAAGAUUAGGCAAUGUAUUAGCUAUGAAAGUACAAACAGUUUGCUUCCUUUGUUGAUGUAAUUGGCUUUUCCAGAUUUGCAUAACCUCCACUUGAAUUCUCUUAAAAUACUGAAUGUGCUGGAAUGGUAUGCUGUCAAAAUCCCAAGUGAUAACUGUGUUCAUCCCACAGCCACUGAUUUCUAGCAACACCGAGCUGAGGACCAGGAAAUCCAUGUUGACCCGAGAAACCCUGGUGUUACAUGCAAUGAAAUAAAGAAGAAACAGAACCACUUAAAUCAGAAAAGCUUCUGUAAAUUAUUUCUUCUUUAGUAAUCCCAUGCUGGCCAGGAGUUCCUGGAAAGCCAGGAGGGCCAGGGGGACCAGUAGAGCCCCUUCUCCUUUCCUCAUCCAAAAGGCAUGUACUGCAAUCUCCUUCUUCACCUAAGGAAAGGAUUGAAAAGAGAAGAAAGAAUG